GUCAAAUGACAUUUGUUUCAGGUUCAGUAUUUCUCAGGUUAAAUUCUUUAGUCAGGCAGUGGUGUUUAUUACAACAGAGAAUUGAUUGGGUCAUGUAGGGCACAGAAUACAAAUAGCAGUGUCAUUCACCAAUAGGUACCACAAUUUCCUCCAACAUGUACUGAACUCCUACCAGUCCUUCCAGCACCAGGGGAAGAGAAACAUGAAAGAGUAUCACUAAAAUACACUUCGUUUCCAUUUCUAUAUCUUAAAUAAGCCCUGAGGCUAAGGCUCAAAUGAGUGACAGCCUGGCUUAUGUUGUUUUAGUCUACAAAAGUGUUUUAUCAAAUCGGUAGUACUGUGUGUCAGUCAUAUGUGACCUCUGUAUGGAAAAUGUUUACACGAUAUUAUUAACUGUUUUGCUCCAGGGUUUCCUCAUGAAUCUGUGAUAUCCUCUGCAUUAACAACACGAAUAGCUGUUGUGUGUCUGUAACUACGCUUCCCAGAUCUCCAACCUCUUUCUGGGAACGACUAUUUGAAAAUGCACUCUUACACAUACCCAGAGCCUUACCAAGAACAUUUCUUUAGAAAUUUUUGGAAAAAGUUAUUACAAAAUUCCAGCCUGGGUUUUCUGUUUUGUCUGAUGGACUUUCAGCCACUUAGUAAGUCACCUGUUCCCAGUUCAGUUUCUCCCAUUAAACAGUAGAUACAAUAAAUAAAUAAAUAAAUAAAUAAAUAAAAAGCAGAAAAUCAAAGGCAUGAUUAUCCAAUUCAGUGAUAUAAACAUGAUAUUUCCUCUCAAUUGUAUUAUUGUUACAAAUACUGACAUUUCACAAAAAGAAACAUCAUUUACCCAAAUUUUGCAUCAUGUUGACUUUUCUAGGAAAAUGACAGCUUUAUCAAGUCCCUUUCCAAGUCUUUUUCAGACACACACAUCCCUUGUUUCCUUUUAGAACACUGCAUACACCAUCUCUUUGCGUUAUGUUUUUCUUUCUUUCUUUCCUUUCUGCCUUAUGAGACUUGUUUUACUUAGACAAGGUUAUUUCUUCAGACCACAAAAUAACAGCUUUGUGAGUGACCUGUGAUCCACUCUUCCACACUCCAGGAAGGACCUAUAUUUGAAAGCUACACAUGAUCCUUCAUACCCUUAAAGAGAAGACAAGGUGUUUCAGGUAGAACCUUACUCUCAAGCUGCCUUGUGUAUUCAAAUAAUACAGACUCUGCAGCUUUGUGGGUGAGUAAUGGAACCAAAAUCUAUUCAUGAAGGCAGGGUUGGUUUUUACAUCUGUUUUACUCAUUAGGGCUUCUUUAUGAUCCUGAUCCACAAAAUAGUCUCAUCAGUGAAACUGUGAUGCUACUAACCAUGCUUUGUAUAAGAAUAAGUCACUGAAGGCAUUGAACCUCACAGAAAGCAUAGACACAGCUAUAGGAAAGUUUUAGGAAUGGCCUUCCAGCACACUACCUCACUUUAACCUCUUGCUUCUCACUCUGACGACUCCAUAUAUCCUCAUAAACAUGCCCAACAUUUCAGACAUACUUGGUGCCACUUGCUACAAGAAUUCAACCAAGACAGCAUCUUCUCAUGAUUUCAUGUCUGUGUCAAUACAUGGCUCCCAGGGAAUGCCUCCACCUCAAGAGGCGAGUAUAUGCAGAGGUCAAAGUAGGGAAAUAAUCAUGUUUCUAGCUCCUUAAGGACUUUGCUCGUUCAAAGCUGGCCAUUAUACCAAGACUGAACUGGUUAUUGGUUUAAAAAAAAAUUAGAAGACUGUGUAGAACACCAUCUAGUCAUAUUCCUUUGAUUUCAGAAAGUCCAAGUCAAACUCAGUACUAUGCAGGGGAAGAGCAAGAUACCAGUACAGAAGAGAAGCACUGACAACUGUGACAACAAUUUGCAAUUCUACUCAGAGCUUCUCAAGCUGUGACUUCUAGACCAGUGCUUCAACAAAGAGUGGAGAAUGAAAAUUAUCAGUGUAGUCACUGACAGAUAUGUUUCUUCUGGCUGAAUAAUUUAUCUUGAAAGUAUUUGGACAUCUGCUCCAGGUCGCUUACCUUUCAGAGCAGUUAUUCUUAUGUCACUGCUGUUCCUACAAAUGCUGACAUUGGCAGCUAACCAAAAGGAGCCCAAAAUACCAGCUUUCGGAGACAGAGAUGGGAAGAGAUUUUCUUCUUAUAUCCUAAAGUAAUAAAAGGUGACUCAGAGUUUUCUUCUUCUCAUUGAAAGCUUUAGACAACACCAAUCAGAAAACUCCUGGAAGCAACAGCCACCCCAAAACACUUCUGCAGAAAAAGGAAGAGUAAAAUAUUGUGUCUGGGAAACCACCCGGCUCCCAAGAAGUAUUACGAGGAAGAGAGAUCUUCACCUCCAGCAACCUGCUGAACUUUACAUCUAUGUUAAAUAGAAAACUCAGGAAAGAUAAUUGUACCUGAAUUUGAUGCAAGCAUUCCUUUUAUUUUGUCUUUUAGACUGUUGACUAUUACCUCUUUACCUCUUUUAAAUGCAUGGAGUUUUAACAAGC